rnacentral:rRNA from 1 species
GCUGGGGGUGGAUGAGUGGCGAACGGGAGAGUAACACGUGAGUAACCUGCCCCGAACUCUGGGAUAAGCGCUGGAAACGGCGUCUAAUACUGGAUAUGUCCUAUCACCGCAUGGUGUGUAGGUGGAAAGAAUUUUGGUUCGGGAUGGACUCGCGGCCUAUCAGCUAGAUGGUGAGGUAAUGGCUCACCAUGGCGACGACGGGUAGCCGGCCUGAGAGGGUGACCGGCCACACUGGGACUGAGACACGGCCCAGACUCCUACGGGAGGCAGCAGUGGGGAAUAUUGCACAAUGGGCGCAAGCCUGAUGCAGCAACGCCGCGUGAGGGAUGACGGCCUUCGGGUUGUAAACCUCUUUUAGUAGGGAAGAAGCGAAAGUGACGGUACCUGCAGAAAAAGCACCGGCUAACUACGUGCCAGCAGCCGCGGUAAUACGUAGGGUGCAAGCGUUGUCCGGAAUUAUUGGGCGUAAAGAGCUCGUAGGCGGCUUGUCGCGUCUGCUGUGAAAACCAGAGGCUCAACCUCUGGCCUGCAGUGGGUACGGGCAAGCUAGAGUGCGGUAGGGGAGAUUGGAAUUCCUGGUGUAGCGGUGGAAUGCGCAGAUAUCAGGAGGAACACCGAUGGCGAAGGCAGAUCUCUGGGCCGUAACUGACGCUGAGGAGCGAAAGCAUGGGGAGCGAACAGGAUUAGAUACCCUGGUAGUCCAUGCCGUAAACGUUGGGAACUAGAUGUAGGGCCUGUUCCACGGGUUCUGUGUCGUAGCUA